GCUGGUGACUUUGGUGGGUGGUUUUGCCCAUGCCAUGGUUCCCAUUACGAUGUCUCCGGUAGGAUCCGUAAAGGACCAGCACCCUACAAUUUGGAGGUACCUACUUACACCUUUUUGGAAGAUAACAAGCUUUUGAUUGGUUAAGAAAUCAAGCUAUUUUUCUGGGUUUGUAGUGGUUUUGGAACCUUCAUCAAUGAUAAUGUCGAAGAUUUGUUGCAGACAUAUUUUAUUUUUCUACUCAAUUUCUUUGAGUUGAUCUUUAUGUAAUGAGAAUACUGUAACUCCCGUAUCUUG
rnacentral:misc_RNA from 1 species